GACGUAGGGUGCGAGCGUUGUCCGGAGUUACUGGGCGUAAAGGGCGCGUAGGCGGUUGUCCGCGUCGCACGUGAAAGCCCCCCGGCUCAACCGGGGAGGGUCGUGCGAAACGGGGCGACUGGAGGCAGGGAGAGGCUGGUGGAAUUCCCGAGUAGUGGUGAAAUGCGUAGAGAUCGGGAGGAACACCGGUGGCGAAGGCGCCAGCUGGCCCUG
rnacentral:rRNA from 1 species